ensembl:lncRNA
GUUAAAUGCUGUCGGCAGUGAUAAAUAGGCAGGCAGCAAGUGGCUGCGCUGCUUCCCUGUGUUUUUCUCCGAGAACCUGCAGCAGAUUGCCUAUAAUUGCUCAUUGCUCUCCAUUAGUGUAUCUCCCUCCUGGCAACUCUUUAAUAGUUUACAUCUCUUGGGGCUGAAAAUUACUAUUUUAAUUAAAACAAUUUGUUUCAAAUGGGGCUCCCAAAUCCCCACACGAUGUUUUAGGAGCCUUGGGCAAAGAACAGAAAACGGAGAGGAGCAAUUGUUUUUAGGGCUAAGAGUAAAGCUGAAUGUAGGAGUUUGGGAUUCUCAAUCAAUUUCUGAGGCCCAACCUCACAGACUGUGAGAAGCAAUGAUUUUCUGGAGAAGAAAAAGAAAGUGCCAAGAAAAGGAGCUUUGGGCGCUUAAAUGCUACAACAACGCACUUUGGAAGUGUGAGGGAGCAGCCAGAGCCAUGCAAGUGCUGUUUGCUCUUCCUGCACGUACCGAGCUGGAGGCUCCCAGUCCCUGUGCCACUUCUCAGUUCCUGAGGGUUUCGCAUCUGCUGCCAGCUGUGCCCAGGGCUCCUGCUGUGUGCUGGAGCAAGUCCUUCGUCAGGCAUCGAGGGGAAGGACUUGGGAAGUUUCCAUGUCUGGGGCUGAGCCCCGAUGCCUGCUGUGCUGGAUUCACCAUACACCAGCAGCACAACGAUCAUCCACUUCAUUCCAAGCACCUGCCUGCCUGCCAAACAUCCUUGCUCUGCUCUGAUGGCAGCCUCUGUGAUAGUUCCUGGGAAGCUGGUGCUCGCACGUGUGCCAGGGACUGGCUGGUGACUGCAAACAGAAUUCCCGUCUGGACCAACCCCCUGAAGAGCUGGGUCUGCUGCAGCUCCAGCUGCACAGUGGCUACAUCAAAGUCCAGAGAAGGAAGGCUGCCCUUGUGGUUGGUGGCUAAUGUUUGGCUACUGAACUGAAAAAUCAAUUAUUCCUACAGCCCUGCUGGAGAUCUUGGGUUCAGUCCUCAAUUCGUCUGCCAAGGUUGCAGCGAAAAACAUUUGUAAGGCUGUAAUAGUAAAUCAGAUGCCUUUGUCUUCUAUAUGCUGCACUCAUAGGCUUUGGACCUAAUUGCGCUGUUUUGCUGGCCCUUGCUGUGAUAAAAUAUCCACAGAUAAUGAGAUUUGAAUUCUGGGAACUGGAUGCUGGAUGAGGGAACCAGUGGAAGAGAACAUGAAUUUUGCAGAUUCCAUGUGUUGACAUUAUUUAUAUAAGACAUCAGCUGAAGACAUGUAAGGUCAAGCAUGCUGAAGUAUAUAUAUAUAUUUUUACAUGGGAUAUGAUUCAAAACAGCUAUCAUAAAUAGGUAUGAACUGUUCUGAUUGAUGCUUCUGAGCAGAUAUUCUCUUGAGGCAGUUUUGUGAGGGCUUUCUCAUACCUUUCUGAGGUCAUAGACAGAAAAUGGGGUGGGAUGAAAUACCAGUCUGCUGUAUUAUGAUAAAUACCAGGAAUGUUUGGAAUGCUUACAGGACUACAUAAGCUCUUGGAGAGCCUCUGAAAACUGCAGAAGCUAUUGGAGAAGGCAUUUGUUACUCUUGUUUUUUUUUUCUUUUCUUUUCUUUUUUCCCUGUGGUAUUUAUUUGUAUUCAAGUCGUGGAACCGGCAGAUUCUGAACAUUUAAGCAGUUGCACAGAUAUUCUUGCAGUAUCCAGAAGCAGCCCUGAAGUAACCUGGCUCGUUCCCAAACUGCAGCUGGACUUUUCUUUGUUUAGAAGAAACAAAACAGCAGUGGUGAAAUGCUGCAUAAAGAAGAAAAAGAAGUUCAAAUGUUAAUGCCCAGUUAAACACUAAAAACAAACAAAAAAAAAACAAAAAAAAGAAAACCACAAGACAAACAAACAAAAAAAGAGCUGCAACUUUUCUGUUUUACUCUUUAGGACUUCACAUGAGUUACCACAGGUUUGUGGGGAGGAUGGUGCCCUUUGCUUUUUCCACGAUUCUCAUUACAGAGGCAUUAUGGUGGCACCCUGGUUUAUUAACUUCUUGAGGCUAGCAAGUUAGAUACGUGUAACUCCUGGAGCUGACUGGGAUAUACAUUUACUUUAACUGAAACUUGUGUUCUGAAAAUGCGGAUGGAAGUUUCACGGUCUUUUCCCAAAGGGGCCUUGGUUCAGUCUGGAGCACAGCUCUGGGAAGUGUUCUCAGGACUGGCGCUGGCAACUCCUGGUUUUUGUUUGUGGGAAGGAGAAAGUAUUUCUGCUACACAUGUACCUUUACUGUUGGGUCCCUCUAGUACCCUUACUACCCAUGCUAUUAGGUUUUUACUUGUCAGCCCAGCAGGGACUGCUGGAAAGUGCACAGUUCAUUGGAAGGAGAACUCAUGAGCCCAAAUAACCGUGAAUGUUUCUUUUCUUUGUGUAUAUUAGACCAUAAACUAAGUACUAUACCAAUCCUUCUGAGCGGAGAAUAUUUUCCCUGCUAAAUACAUAUCUUUGGGAUACAUAUUGGUUUAGCUAUUUUUAAAUUAAAAAGUCCUUAUGAUGGCUAGUCAUGUAGUCUGCCAUGGGGUUUUUACCGUAUAAUGUCAUUUAAUGUCAGUCACUUCACAGAGAUGCUUUUGCUAAAGGCAUGCUUCGGGCUGCUGAGCUCACAGGCUUGUGCUUUGCCUGAUCUGUCAGUUCCGAGCAGACGUUCCCUACAAUCAGGUUAACUAGUUGUAGCAGAACUGAAGCCAAAUCAAAUGAGCAGACGUUUACAUUUCUGGGAUAAUACUAACCACAUCUGGAGCGAUACGAGUAAGAAAUGUAUAUAGAGGAAGAAAAUUCAAAGAGCAAUGUUUCUACAGUAGUAUCAAUAUUCCCUGGCGUGGCUGUACUUGAGGGGGAAAAAAAAAAGUCAUUUACUUCAUUUGCUGUUACAUCUGCAUUCUUAUUAAGUGUUAUACAAUAAAAUGCAUUGAUCAGACA